GACGAACGCUGGCGGCGUGCUUAACACAUGCAAGUCGAACGAUGAACCCGGAGCUUGCUCUGGGGGAUUAGUGGCGAACGGGUGAGUAACAAGUGAGUAACCUGCCCUGGACUCUGGGAUAAGCGUUGGAAACGACGUCUAAUACCGGAUAGGACCUUGGAUCGCAUGAUCUGGGGUGGAAAGUUUUUUCGGUCUGGGAUGGACUCGCGGCCUGUCAGCUUGUUGGUGAGGUAAUGGCUCACCAAGGCGUCGACGGGUAGCCGGCCUGAGAGGGUGACCGGCCACACUGGAGAUGAGACACGGCCCAGACACCGGCGAGAGGCAGCCGUUGGGAAUAUUGCACAAUGAGCGAAAGCGUGAUGCAGCAGAGCCGCGUGCGGGAGGACGGCCUUCGGGUUGUAAACCGCUUUUAGUAGGGAAGAAGGGCUUCGGCUUGACGGUACCUGCAGAAAAAGGACCGGCUAACUACGUG
rnacentral:rRNA from 1 species